CCCCGGAUUGAGUCAGACCCGUUUAUUUGCAUAUUUAUUUUAUUAUUUUAUUUCUGGGCUUAUUUGCAUUCUAGGGUUUAUUUGUGGUUUAUUUUAUUUCUGGGCUUAUUUGCAUUUUAGGGCUUAUUUGUGGUUUAUUUGUGUUAUUUGUGGGUUUAUUAGGAUUUAUUUCUGUGUAAGGGGGUUUAUGCAAAUUGUGUAUUUGGGCCCUAUAUAUAGGGAACUAUUUUCAUGAUUAGGGUUUAAUGAA
rnacentral:lncRNA from 1 species